rnacentral:rRNA from 1 species
UACGUAGGGUCCGAGCGUUGUCCGGAAUUAUUGGGCGUAAAGAGCUCGUAGGCGGCUUGUCACGUCGGGUGUGAAAGCCCGGGCUUAACCCCGGGUCUGCAUUCGAUACGGGCAGGCUAGAGUGUGGUAGGGGAGAUCGGAAUUCCUGGUGUAGCGGUGAAAUGCGCAGAUAUCAGGAGGAACACCGGUGGCGAAGGCGGCUCUCUGGACGCAACUGACGCUGAGACGCGAAAGCGUGGG